rnacentral:rRNA from 1 species
GACGUAGGGCGCGAGCGUUGUCCGGAUUGACUGGGCGUAAAGCGCACGCAGGCGGAUGCGCGCGUGGGGUGUGAAAUCUGGCCGCUUAACGGCCAGGCGCCAUCCCAUACGGCGCGUCUGGAGUGAUGCAGAGGUCGAUGGAAUUGCCGGUGUAGUGGUGAAAUUCGUAGAUAUUCGCAGGAACACCAGUGGCGAAGGCGACUUGCUGGAUCUUUGCUGACGCUGAGACGCGAAAGCGUGGGGAGCAAACAGG